AAAAUAAAUCUCCAUCAGGGUUUAUCCAUGAGCUGCAGAGCUCUUUGGUGAGGCCCAGAAUCAGUGAGGAAACUGCACUUUUCAGUGGCUCUGUGCAGGACAAAGGGUCUCAUCAUCUGCAGCCAUGGGAGAAACCUGGAUGGGGACCAAAUAAUGGGAAUAAUACCUUGCUUGCAGGAAGGACAAACAGGGACCUUCUGCCUUGCUUGGCUCCUCUGGGGUGAGCAGCCCAGGGGAGCUGCAGGAAGCUGAGGAGGGAGCUGCUCUGUGGGAACACGACAGAGGUCACUGGCACUGCCUUGGAUGGGUCCCUGUCUGGUGGUCACCCCACAGAAGAUGACGAGUCCUUCAAGGGCCACCAUGAGGGCCUCAGCUGGAAGCUUCUGGGGCAGAACAGCCUGGCACUGGGAUUCCCAUCUCCACUGCAGGACCCUGAACGUGGACAUACACCAAGCUAAACUUCCCUGGGAGCAGAACUUGAGACAUCAUUUCCA